UAUCUCUGUAGAGUCUGCAUAUCAAUAAGCGGAGGAAAAGAAACUAACUAGGAUUUCCUCAGUAACGGCGAGUGAAGCGGGAAGAGCUCAAAUUUGAAAUCUUCAAGGUUCUACCUUGACGAAUUGUAGUUUAAAGAAGUGUUUUCUGUUGAAGUUUCGGUAAAAGUUCUUUGGAAUAGGACAUCAUAGAGGGUGAGAAUCCCGUAUUUGACCGUUAUUUUCAGCUGUGUGAUACACUUUCAAAGAGUCGGAUUGUUUGGGAAUGCAGUCCAAAAUGGGUGGUAAAUUUCAUCUAAAGCUAAAUAUUGGCGAGAGACCGAUAGCGAACAAGUACCGUGAGGGAAAGAUGAAAAGAACUUUGAAAAGAGAGUUAAACAGUAGCGUGAAAUUGUCAAAAGGGAAGCGUUUGACACCAGUGUUGUUUUCUCGAAAAUCAAUUAAAAAUGGCUUGAUUUUGUGUUGUAUUGACCUUAAAAGCUUUCUUCACUUUUUUCAUGUCUUUUUUAAUGCACUUUUCGUUUAACAAGUCAACAUCAGUUUCUUUUGUUGUAAAAAGGUCACUGGAAGGUGGCUUUCUUUUCGGAGAAAGUGUUUAUAGCCUUUGACUCCUGCAAUCGGAGAGACUGAGGUCUGCAGCGUAGAUCCUUCUUGGAUUAGAUUCAUUUGUGCUAAGUUAUAGCUUUUCAUAGACAACUUGUUGACUAUGUUUAGUCUUGUAGCUUACUCGCUUAUGUAAUUUUACCUACGCUUAGGAUGUUGAUCUCUCACAGUCGAGC
rnacentral:rRNA from 1 species